rnacentral:rRNA from 1 species
UACGUAGGGUGCGAGCGUGUCCGGAAUUAUUGGGCGUAAAGGGCUCGUAGGCGGUCUGUCACGUCGGGAGUGAAAACACGGGGCUUAACCCCGUGCCUGCUUCCGAUACGGGCAGACUAGAGGUAUGCAGGGGAGAACGGAAUUCCUGGUGUAGCGGUGAAAUGCGCAGAUAUCAGGAGGAACACCGGUGGCGAAGGCGGUUCUCUGGGCAUUACCUGACGCUGAGGAGCGAAAGUGUGGGGAGCGAACAGG